rnacentral:piRNA from 1 species
UNCAGUGUUAAGUCAGGGCUGUAGAUUAAU